rnacentral:rRNA from 1 species
UACGUAGGUGGCAAGCGUUGUCCGGAAUUACUGGGUGUAAAGCGCGUGUAGGCGGCAGGCCAAGUCUGCGGUGAAAGCGCCCGGCUCAACUGGGCGAGGUCCGUGGAAACUGGUCAGCUGGAGGACGGUAGAGGCGAGUGGAAUUCCCGGUGUAGUGGUGGAAUGCGUAGAUAUCGGGAAGAACACCAGUGGCGAAAGCGGCUCUCUGGGGACCACCUGACGCUGAGGCGCGAAAGCGUGGGGAGCGAACCGG